UCUCUCUCAGAUGCCAAGACUGGGCUUGGAUCUUUGGGGCUGGAGGGAGAGAAGGCGUUUCCUCCUGUGCCUCAGGCAGCAAAAAGUCUUGGGCAUUCCCAGGCUGGACCACCUGGGAAUCAAGAGGGCUUUGACCCCUGGAGGAGAAAACUUUGCCCCUCUGACAAGGCUUUGCCCCCAAAUCCCUUCUUCCCCAACAAGCAGGGGAGAACCGAAGCUAUCUUUUGACCCCUUCCUCACUUCCGUGACCUCCCGUUAUUCUGAGUACCGCUUCCCAGAGUCCCCCUCAGAUGACCCUGUGCAUUUUUAGAAGGAUGUCCCCUGCCUGCAAGCUCAUCUCUCUGCCCUGUGGCUUUUGCAGGGCAAGAAGGGAGCUCUGGGCCGCCAUCGUGACUCACCCGAGCUGCCGAGCCUCAGCCCUGAAGCAUUUGCUCCGCUGGGUGAUGUCGGACGGGAGCAGCGCCCCAAAUUGUGUUCUGGUGCUCUUAGCCCUCCGAGAGGUGGUCGUGGCCUUGGACAGCUGGACCGGGCUCUCCUCGCUACUCUCCAAUCUGUGCCAUGUUCUCCUCUUCUGGCUCAGCCAGGACUGGUCCGGAGAGAUGCCACAGGCAGCCUGUUCCCUUCUGGAAGGCAACGGGGAGCUGGAAACGGGAUGGGCAGGGGCCCGGGGGUAAGUCGCCCCCACGCCUUCCCUAGCCGGCCCCUUUCUUGCCCAGCCACGCCGUGACGUUCCUUGGAGGCUUCAGUUCCUCCACGUGCUCUUUUCUCGGCUCGCCAGGAAGGGGCUCGGCUCUUUCCGCUGUGCCAAGGGGGGGGGGAAGCCCACCUGCCAGGGAUCAGAAGCUGUGCCAAGCCGCCCUCCUCUGGCUACUGGGCUGGUCCUCUCAGUAGCCCCUUCCUCCCUGGGCCUGUGAAGAGGAGGACCACGGGCUUCCUUCCUCUUCGGCUGAAGGAUUCUGCCCUCGGGUAGACGUGGCAGGAGCCGUGAGUGGGGUUGGCCUUUCUCGCCCCCAACCCGUGACUGGGUCUGUCUUCCAGACUGGCGGUGGAGGUGCUGCAGACCACGCUCAGCCAAGUGAUUCCAGAGGCCACGAGGGCGAUGGAGGCAGAAAAUGCCUGGGCCCUCCUGAGAGAGCCAGAGAGCCGUCUUAAGGGGAUCGCCUCCUUGGCCAAGUAAGGAGACCCUUCUGGGUCACAGUGGGGAACAGCGGGGGGGGGAGGCUCAGGCAUCAUCCGUACAGCCCAGGAGUUUUCCCCAUUGAGAUCUCUCCAUGUCAAGCCAAGGAAACCCGGCUGGGGCAUCGAUUGUGUUGCUUUCACUUCCGGCCUCGCCAUCUCACUCUGGAGGACCGGAGCAGACGUUCUCUAGGGUGGGAGAGACCGAAGCGAUGGAGCUGGGACAAAAGCUAAAAGGCUCACCUGCUAACACAAGAGAAGCUCCUGCCGUGACACCAACUCACACUCAGCCCUUGAGGAGGUUCCUCUUGGCCGCCUAUAAUGUUGCUUUCAGCCCUAAGGGUUUCUAAGGAAUCGGCGCUAACCGAGGCUCUGGGUCGGAGCUGACAAGCCUCUGGGUGCAGCAGGGUCUAUCUGAAGCCCGGGGGGGGGCAGGUUCUGCUUGGCCCGGGAUGGAGCGAGU
rnacentral:lncRNA from 1 species